UACGUAGGGUGCGAGCGUUGUCCGGAAUUACUGGGCGUAAAGAGCUCGUAGGUGGUUUGUCGCGUUGUUCGUGAAAUCUCACGGCUUAACUGUGAGCGUGCGGGCGAUACGGGCAGACUGGAGUUCGGCAGGGGAGACUGGAAUUCCUGGUGUAGCGGUGAAAUGCGCAGAUAUCAGGAGGAACACCGGUGGCGAAGGCGGGUCUCUGGGCCGAUACUGACGCUGAGGAGCGAAAGCGUGGGGAGCGAACAGG
rnacentral:rRNA from 1 species